rnacentral:lncRNA from 1 species
CUAGCUUUAGGCAAUAUGGUACAGUAUUACAAUAUAGGCUCCGGAGUUGAAAUCUUGGCUUUUCCUCUUGCUGAUUGUGUCGAUUUUGGGGCUACAGACAGAAGGAGAAAGGGAUUUCCUACAUCUUUAAGUGAAGAUGUGAAGAAGCCAAGAUGGCCUUACUUAUAAGGUAGGAUACAUCUGGUGUAAUGAUGUUGCUUGAUCUCUGUCCUGCGGGCAUUGUGUCAUUGUAGACACCAUU